UACGUAGGUGGCGAGCGUUUGUCCGGAUUUACUGGGCGUAAAGAGCGCGCAGGCGGUCGUUCAAGUCGCGUGUGAAAGCCCCCGGCUCAACUGGGGAGGGUCACGCGAUACUGAUCGACUCGAAGGCAGGAGAGGGUAGUGGAAUUCCCGGUGUAGUGGUGAAAUGCGUAGAUAAUCAGGAGGAGCACCAGCGGCGAAGGCGGCGCUCUGGGCCGGUACUGACGCUGAGGAGCGAAAGCGUGGGGAUCAAACAGG
rnacentral:rRNA from 1 species